rnacentral:misc_RNA from 1 species
GUGAAGAACGCAGCGAAAUGCGAUACGUAAUGUGAAUUGCAAAUUCAGUGAAUCAUCGAGUCUUUGAACGCACAUUGCGCCCCCUGGUAUUCCGGGGGGCAUGCCUGUCCGAGCGUCAUUGCUGCCCUCAAGCACGGCUUGUGUGUUGGGCCCCGUCCUCCGAUCCCGGGGGACGGGCCCGAAAGGCAGCGGCGGCACCGCGUCCGGUCCUCGAGCGUAUGGGGCUUUGUCACCCGCUCUGUAGGCCCGGCCGGCGCUUGCCGAUCAACCCAAAUUUUUAUCCAGGUUGACCUCGGAUCAGGUAGGGAUACCCGCUGAACUUAAGCAUAUCAAUAAGCGAGGA